rnacentral:rRNA from 1 species
CCUACGGGAGGCUGCAGUGAGGAAUCUUCCACAAUGGGCGAAAGCCUGAUGGAGCAACGCCGCGUGAAGGAUGAAGGCCUUCGGGUUGUAAACUUCUUUUAUGAGUGAAGAAUAUGACGGUAACUCAUGAAUAAGCACCGGCUAACUACGUGCCAGCAGCCGCGGUCAUACGUAGGGUGCAAGCAUUAUCCGGAGUGACUGGGCGUAAAGAGUUGCGUAGGCGGUUUAAUAAGUGAAUAGUGAAACCUGGUGGCUCAACCAUACAGACUAUUAUUCAAACUGUUAAACUCGAGAGUGGUAGAGGUAACUGGAAUUUCUAGUGUAGGAGUGAAAUCCGUAGAUAUUAGAAGGAACACCAAUGGCGUAGGCAGGUUACUGGACCAUUUCUGACGCUAAGGCACGAAAGCGUGGGGAGCGAACUGGAUUAGAUACCCUGGUAGUC